ACGCUGGCGGCAGGCCUAACACAUGCAAGUCGAGCGGUAGAGAGAAGCUUGCUUCUCUUGAGAGCGGCGGACGGGUGAGUAAUGCCUAGGAAUCUGCCUGGUAGUGGGGGAUAACGUUCGGAAACGGACGCUAAUACCGCAUACGUCCUACGGGAGAAAGCAGGGGACCUUCGGGCCUUGCGCUAUCAGAUGAGCCUAGGUCGGAUUAGCUAGUUGGUGAGGUAAUGGCUCACCAAGGCGACGAUCCGUAACUGGUCUGAGAGGAUGAUCAGUCACACUGGAACUGAGACACGGUCCAGACUCCUACGGGAGGCAGCAGUGGGGAAUAUUGGACAAUGGGCGAAAGCCUGAUCCAGCCAUGCCGCGUGUGUGAAGAAGGGCUUCGGAUUGUAAAGCACUUUAAGUUGGGAGGAAGGGUUGUAGAUUAAUACUCUGCAAUUUUGACGUUACCGACAGAAUAAGCACCGGCUAACUCUGUGCCAGCAGCCGCGGUAAUACAGAGGGUGCAAGCGUUAAUCGGAAUUACUGGGCGUAAAGCGCGCGUAGGUGGUUUGUUAAGUUGGAUGUGAAAUCCCCGGGCUCAACCUGGGAACUGCAUUCAAAACUGACUGACUAGAGUAUGGUAGAGGGUGGUGGAAUUUCCUGUGUAGCGGUGAAAUGCGUAGAUAUAGGAAGGAACACCAGUGGCGAAGGCGACCACCUGGACUAAUACUGACACUGAGGUGCGAAAGCGUGGGGAGCAAAC
rnacentral:rRNA from 1 species